rnacentral:lncRNA from 1 species
UGUGGAGCUCUUGAGCAAGAGUUGUAGCUGUGAGGAUGCCCUGCAAACUCCAGGUCACAGAUCCUCUGCAGGAGAGUGUGGAGGGAAGUUUGACAGGAUAAUGGAUCAGCAGCACACGUGGUGGAAUGGAGUUCGUGUCUCUGAAUGAAGAAAUCCCUGAGGAGAGGAAGAAGGUGAGUGACAGCUACUGAGGGUGAUUUGUUCUUGAGUUGAUCAUCACAGGCAUCUACAGCGGCCCAGAGACUAACACGGUGUUGAAA